rnacentral:rRNA from 1 species
GGCUAUAGCCAUGCCACCCUGAACGUGCCUGAUCUCGUCUGGUCUCAGGAGGUAAGCAGGGUCGGGUCUGGUUAGUACUUGGAUGGGAGACCACCUAGGAAGACCGGGUGCUGUAGGCG